rnacentral:tRNA from 1 species
GCGGAUAUGGUCGAAUGGUAAAAUU